GAGUUGUNNCCUCGUGUACGGGACAGGUGCCCCCCAACCA
rnacentral:tRNA from 1 species